UUGUUUUAAAUAAUUUUGUUCCUACAAUAUAUUUUGUUGGAAUUAGUGUCGAUAGCAAGUAUCAAGAAACAGCUUUUUAAUUCAACGUUGAAGAAAUUCAUAACCUGUGGCACUUUUGACAGCCGCCAUGUUUUCUCCAUAAAAACAUUGAUUUUCUUUGCUCAUUUUCGUGUCAACGUAGUUUUUUUGGAAAAUAAGAAGAAAGGAAGUUUAACUUACUUAGAGAAAUACGACUGAGACAUAAACACAAGCAGCAGCCGAUGUGCUUGAGUAGCAGAAGGAGCAACUGCGUUGUGAGAGGGCCACGGCUUCAGCCCUCACAAUGAUAGCUGAUUAGCUGAAGUAAUGAACAGACAGGCUGCAGUCAAUGAGAGGCUUCUUGAGGAGGGGUUCCUCAUAUGGAAAAAGAUUUUAGCGGCGACGCAGUUGCGCGACCAGUGAAGCUCUGGCUCCGCGACCGGCGUGGAGCGCGCGGUCAGCGCGGCGCUGCUGCGGCUGCUGCGCGGGAGGAUCCCGUCCCUGCGCAUGCGCCUGGCCUUCAAUGACCUCACGCCUCUCUUCUUCCUCUUCUUCAUGCGUCAAUUCAAACAGAGGAGCACCUGUGAUUACUGAUUACCUAAGUUCCUAUAUACAAUAAUAGUUUAAUAAUUGUUAACAAAAUAUUGUAUAUAUAAGUAUUAAUAAUUACUUAUACAAAAGGCUAAAAGCAUUUUGUACCAGCCAACCUAUAGGAGAGAAUAUGAGAAAAAUAAUAAGACUUUAAUCUUUGAUUGCCAUUAUCUGUAGCUUUAUUAAGUGGUAAAGGGACCUAAUUACUACCUAUAUUUUUUUAGUAUUUGUGAUAAUUCAUAGAAUUUAUUAGUUCUAUCAAUAAAUAAAAUAUACAUGCAUUA